CAGCAGCCGCGGUAAUACGAAGGGUGCAAGCGUUACUCGGAAUUACUGGGCGUAAAGCGUGCGUAGGUGGUGGUUUAAGUCCGUUGUGAAAGCCCUGGGCUCAACCUGGGAAUUGCAGUGGAUACUGGAUCACUAGAGUGUGGUAGAGGAUAGUGGAAUUUCCGGUGUAGCAGUGAAAUGCGUAGAGAUCGGAAGGAACAUCUGUGGCGAAGGCGACUAUCUGGGCCAACACUGACACUGAGGCACGAAAGCGUGGGGAGCAAACAGGAUUAGAUACCCCAGUAGUCCCUGUCUCUUAUAU
rnacentral:rRNA from 1 species